AACCCGUGGUAAGGGCACAUUCUCAAUAAAUCCUUGUACCUCUCCCAUGCAUCAUAUAGAGUUUCUAAAUCGAUCUGCAUAAAGGAAGAGAUGUCGUUCCUCAACUU
rfam:Gossypium raimondii chromosome 2, whole genome shotgun sequence.